GAAGAGAGAAAAGAAACGAAAUGAAAGAGGAAAUGGUAAGUGAAGAAUGAGUGCACGCAUUUCUCUCUUUCGUUUCUUUUCUUCUCAUUCGUCCUUCAUUCCCUUCACUUCACUUCUUUGUUCCAUUCCAUUAAAAUCACGCACUCAUUCCAUUCCAUUACAUUUCAUUUGUAUUUUAAUGAAACGGAAUGAAGUGAAGUGGAAUGGAAGGGAAAUGAGAAGUGGUUUGUUUCUCUUCUUACACUUCCAUUCCUUCUCUCACAUUACAUUAUAAAUGAAUAGUGAAG
rnacentral:ribozyme from 1 species